AAUCAGUGCUGCUGGGAGAUUAUAAUGCUAAAUUAAUUUUUUUAAAGUGUUUUGCUGUUCCAGGAGGAAAGGUGUUAUGCAAAAGAAAAAUCUCCUCACUGUGAACUGUGGAUGUGGAAAGAUACAUGGUAGUGACCUCUGGUUUAAAUUACCAGCAAACAGCAUCCCAUAUCUGGAAAGAAAAUAAAGUUCAUGCAUUUCUUCAGCAACCAGUAUUUUCUAACUAUUGUGUUUUAGUUCAUCAUAUCUUGAAACAUUUAAAAGUCAGGAAACUAGAUAUAUAGCUGGUGGCUCAUCAGGGAACUACUGACAUACUAAUUAAGAAAUCAGAUAAUCAAUAUAGAAAUGUACAAUUUUCCUCGUGAUGUGGCAGCCAUUCUAAGAGCGUUGUUACAUAUACACUUUGGAGUGCCCAUCAGUACCGAGACAACCACAGUUUCUGGGUGCAAGGCAGCAACUGGAGGUUCCUAUGUAAUGCUGCACUUCUCAAGGCUCAUGGUGGAGCUGCCACCAUCACAAGCCCUGAGGACAUCAAGGCUGACACCAGCUUUUGGGGAUGGCUGGAGUCAAGGAGACUAAGAAAGAUUGUUGGUGGAAUGUUGCGGAGGGCACCAUGGCUCGGCCCAUUUCAUGGCAGAUAUGAUUUGCCCUUUGUUUUGCUGCUCUCUGGCCAGUGGCUUGUCACCCACAGAAGGAGUUGGUCUUUCAGAACAGGAUGUGCAGGGUCAAGAGAAACUCGCUGGCCCCACCACACCAAUCCUACACCAGAGCUAUUCCCCACCGCUCCAAGGAGACCUGUGUGACUCUGACAACCUUUCCAUAAGCCAUGUUUCCCUGACCUUUCCUUGUUCCCUCAGUGUGAAGGAGGAGCUAUGCUCUCUUGAUAACCAUAAAGUAAAAGAAGAAAGCUCUUUGCUCUCUCUCUGCCCCUGGCACACAUGAACAACAUUGUCUGGUCAAUGAGGAAGAAGUGAUGAAGACUAGUAACUUUUACAACAUUUCUUUGAUAGCUUUUUUUCCCAUCUGGCUUCAUUUCAUAUAUACAUAAACCAGUUUACAGAUAUUAUUAUCAAGCCUGAGUUAUGUAAAGCUUAUCUAAUCUACAACUUGCUUUAAAGAUUGUUAGAAGAAUGAUUUCUGCAUAAUAAAACCUCAGGAAUACACAAGUGAUCUUAGCAAAUACAGUAUGACUGCUGUGUGGUUUCCCGUUGCCUUUGUAGUUUCUAAGACACUAUAACAUUAUUUAAUUAGCUAAAAUUUCCUCUCUCUUGAGGAUGGAAACUCAAUGAAAUGUCAACAAUGCUGUCAGUCUGCUUCAGGCUAAACUCAUUACACAAAGGCUCGCGAUAAAAAUAGUCCAAGACAGAUUAUUUCAUAGCAAAACAGAGGCCCAUGCAACUUAUGCCUCAGAAACCAGAUGUGAAAACCAUGCAAGUGCUGCAUUUUGGGGGUUAAUGGGACUGUUAUGUUCCACUAAGCAAUUAUAGAUGCUAUGUACUUUCAUUGUUUUAUGUAUGGCUAACAAAAAGGAAAAAGAAAAACAUUAAAUCCUGCUAAUGAUUUCUCACAGGCUGUUUACUGAUGGACGUUCCUAUCAGUCAAAGGCUGAUAUUAAAUCUAUAUCUUUGCUUUAAAAAUUCACCUUCUCCUGCACCUGAGAAAAUGAGCAGAUAUAGUGUUUUAAGUAAAAUGUGGAAACAAGGAAGAAAUUGUUUCACUUAAUCUGAAUUAUAACUGAUAUUUCAGAAUACAUGUGCUCAUUACUAAGCAUAAUAAAAUUUGGCAUUUUCUAUUGUCAGAAGGUUUAUAAAGGCUAAAUUUCUUGAUUUAUUUAAAUAGACAGAUAGGAAAGAGCAAGCUACAAAAACAAGUGCUAUAUACUGAAGGCAUGUGAAUUACCUCCUUCCCAAGGAUAAUGCAAAUUAGAAGUAUGUAAAGCUUUGUCUGCACCUGGGAUCUUUAAUGAGUAUAAAGAAAAAUCAGACGGAGAUUCUCCUGGGAAAAGAGAGGAUCGUUAUUUGAAUAACCUGCAGUGAAUUCUAAUCAAUGCAACGUGACUUUGAAAAUGAAUGUGGUCUUUCAACCCGCUGUACAUGAGCCAUAAUAUUAAUCAUAACUUCAUGGCACAGUAAAGCCUAUGACAAAUGGCUAUUCAGUGGACUAACGAAAAGAGCAUUCAUAGUGGGAGGAAGGUAGGGGCCGUAUAUCCAGCAUUUUUUUGUUGUUGUUUGCAAAUACAUGUCUGAAAAUAUGUAUGCAUGUAUGUGAAUGUGAGAGUAUGUGUGCUAGCUCAUAUGUCAUAUGUGUGCGCCCUUGGUUUAGAACAUAAGCAGAAAACAGGUUUGUUUUCCUUCAGGUCUGACAUGAACAAGCAGUGCCGUAUCUUGUUAUGCUUCAAAGAAUAUUAUCUAGUGUUACACUAUUUAACACGAAGCUUGGGAUCAUUUUUUUUUUAGAAACAAGGCUUCCUGGAUACACUAGUCAUAUAUCUGCCGGUGUUUGAAGCCUCUCCUCUGCCUCUAAAAGGCUGGAGGUAAUUUGUGUAUUCUCUCCACUACUAAGCUUUGUUCACGUUCCUAUAUUUGUAGGAAGAGAUUAACAUAAAGCAUGGUUCACUGGCUGCAAAGUAGAAACAUGAUGCUGAUUUACUUACCCAGAGCAUAAAACAGAACUUUUAUGGGUUUUUUUUUAGUUUUGAGAAUUAAAAUCAAUAAACUUUUUGACAUUCUCUCUAUUAACAUGUUUGUAUCAGUGAAACAAGCUGCGUCCAAAAUCAGAAUUUCAAAGAAGCACAUCUAAAGGAAAUCAGAUGUAUUUCAUGAUGUAUUUUAAGGAGUGAGUGCAUAUUCUAGCCAGAGGGUUAUUUAUGUAGGGUACAGGGAAGUAAAUAUAUCUUGUUUUGUUGAAGUGAUGUGGUAAGGAUGUUCAUACAUAAGCAGUAAAAUGUGACAAGCUCUGCCAUAAAUGCUAUGCACCAACAUGCACAGUGAGAUUUUUUUUCUUCCUGCAGGAGGAAUUUGUCACCUUUGGUGGAUGCACACCCUGGAGGUCUGCUGGGCACGGAGCUCCAGUGUAGCAACCAAGCCAGCAUCACAAUGUGUUGUGUUGCGUGGAGAUAGCAACAGAAUCUGUACAGUGCUGAUGUAGCCACAUUAAUAGAUUCACAUAUAGACUAAAGUACAACUGCUGCCCAUGGCAGCCCUCAGGCAAAAGCUCCAGAAGAGCACAAAGGCCUUGAAGGUUAAGCUUGAGAUCUGUCAGUCUGGGAUAUGAAGCACGCUGCUGAGUUAAAGGUCUUCCACUUGCAACAUCUUGCGGUCUGACCCUGGACACUCAAAUUGGUAGCAGGAACCUAUCACAUCAUUAUGUUGCUCCUUCCGCUUCCACCACCACAAGAGACCUGCAGUUCUUGUUUCUGGCGCUCAGAUCCAUACCAGAAAACCAGAAUAUCAGCACAGUAAUAACAGCUGGCUAGAGCCCUGCUCUCUCUUCAGCCCUGCAGCUGUUCUCCCAUGUCACUUUAACUUUGUCUACAUUGUCGUAGUAUUCAUGAGUUCCAAAAAUAUAUUAUAAAAGUGGAAUAAAAGUGUGACACCUAUUUCCUCUUGCUUCCUCACUAUGGUCUUCUGUCAGUUUAGUCACAGAAGUAAAAAUAGAACCAAUUAUGAGGAAGGGAUGUCACAUGGAAGUAGCUUGAUAUUGUAUAUCCCAGUAAAAUAAUAGCAGCAAGGGUGUGCCCAAUUUCUAUAUCUGCUAAGAGAAAUGGCCUCUUGCAAACACUGUUCAGAAAGUUUGACUAAUUGCCAGCAUCAGAUGAAUAACAAAAUGCUGUCAAUAAAAGAAAUGAUUCUGUUCCUGUUAGCAACAGGGAAAACUGGCAGGAUUAGACCCGAAAGAGAGAGUAAUACAAAGGUCAUAUAUCUGAUUUCAGUCACAUAGAAGGAUUAUUGAUUUAUUCGAGGGUUACUGAAAUGAAGCUCUGGCUCAUGGUUCAGGUGAAGAUGGGAGGAAAGUGAUUACUGCUAUAUUACAGGCCUUCCCUGUAGAUAUGGUGUAUGGAAAUAACCACGGCUGAUCUUACAGGGAGUGUAGCAGAUGCACAGCAUCUGGUCUCUGGUCUCCAAGGCUACAUCUAUACUAGUAAACUAAACAGGCUUAGGACAUGUCUAAGCAAUGCUCCGUGAGAUCCAUAUUGUUUAACCCUUACUAUCGGCUCUGGCAUUUGGCCAUCAUCAAGCAGUGCUGCACAGGUCUGCAGGUGCUCCACAAAGGUAGUGGGGAUGAGCCUAUCUUAUCCUAGGGGAGAAAAGAGUAAGCUAUGAGCAGUGAGAGCUGAUCUGUGCAGAGCCCUGAGGCCACAGGAGGUGCCACCAUUCAUCCUAUUUAUUUCCAUUGACAUAGGCUGAAAGAGACCCCUCAUGAUCAUAGGUUUCUGAACCUGCUUAUCUCCAUCCAGUGCCUCUCAUUUUCUAUGGAAAUAAAACAACCCAAGUAUUUUUGCCCCAAAAAGGAAGAUUAAAUAAUACUUAAGUAAUGUCCCACACUUAAUAAUAUCCCAUUGUCUUUUUGAUGCUGUGGGAAAGGGACCAAUUUUCAUGCCAGCUUUGUUCGCUACACUUAGAAGAAAGCUCUAAUCUGCAACUGCAGCCCUUCAGCCACAAGAUAAAUGCACAGAAAUGUAACUCCUGCUGUAACUCCAGUGCUUAAAUUGGAUGUGGUCACCAUUUGUUCCCUGGAACACAGGACAAGGUGUUGGAACAGGACGAGUUCCCUUCCACACAGAGUGUCAAAUUCUUAUUCCGACUUCAGUGAACAGGAACUCAUCGCUGGCCUUCUGGAAUUCAGAAUUACAGCCUAAAGGGGUGGUUUUUGUUUCAUUAUUAUAUUGUCAAAGAAUGUGAUGCUGUUAUAUUUCUCCACAGUCUCCAAGCGUUUCCCAUGCACAACAGACUGGUAAGAGGGAAAUCCCCGGUGGAUUUUCUGGAUUCUUUAGAUCUUCUUCUUUUGGGGGUUAAUUUAAUCAGGAUUUUUAAAGGGAUAAUUACAUUUGUACAACUUUUUUUUUUUUUUUUUUUUUUUUUUUUAAGAGGCAAAAUUUAAACCUUUUUACACUGAAGAAAUUUGGAAUAUACCCAAGAAUUCCUUUCAAAGUAACAUCAUCAAAUAAUAUUCUCGUGUCUCUGAGAUUUAACAUUUCAGAUUCUUUCCUCUGCACCUUUUAUUGUUCCUAUUUACAGUGCACCUGAAACACAUUGUGUAAUUGGCAGAGAGCCCAGAUUUUCCAUUUAAGAACAGUUUGAUGAUUUCACUUUUUCUUUCUCUCUCUUUUUUUUUUUUUUCUGAAAACAGCAGGUGCUCUGCAUUGUAAACAAUGCCAGUCGCCAUAAUAUUAUUAGCUUUUGCAUUUUUAUUACAUUUUUGCCUCCCUACAUAUUUUAAACUUCAUUGCAAGGCAUUUUUGGCACCAACUCAGAAAGCCUCUUAUUUCAUAAGGAAGAUGGAUACCAGUGAACACAGUGCUUUGUUGUCAUUUGUAAUUAGAAAGAGCAAGAUUUACUUAAUCAUUAAACCACUCAAUAUUUG